ensembl:snoRNA small nucleolar RNA SNORD45
GGUCAAUGAUGAGACUUGGCAUGUAUUAUCUGACUCAAGUUGAAGAUAAAUGCUUUAGCUCUAGAAUUACUCUGAGACCUA